rnacentral:rRNA from 1 species
UACGUAGGGGGCAAGCGUUGUCCGGAUUUAUUGGGCGUAAAGAGCGUGUAGGCGGCCAGAUAGGUCCGUUGUGAAAACUCGAGGCUCAACCUCGAGACGCCGAUGGAAACCAUUUGGCUAGAGUCCGGAAGAGGAGAGUGGAAUUCCUGGUGUAGCGGUGGAAUGCGCAGAUAUCAGGAAGAACACCCGUGGCUAAGGCGGCUCUCUAGUACGGUACUGACGCUGAGACGCGAAAGCGUGGGGAGCAAACAGG